UACGAAGGGGGCUAGCGUUGCUCGGAAUCACUGGGCGUAAAGGGUGCGUAGGCGGGUUUUUAAGUCAGAGGUGAAAUCCUGGAGCUCAACUCCAGAACUGCCUUUGAUACUGGGAAUCUUGAGUAUGGAAGAGGUGAGUGGAAUUCCGAGUGUAGAGGUGAAAUUCGUAGAUAUUCGGAGGAACACCAGUGGCGAAGGCGGCUCACUGGUCCAUUACUGACGCUGAGGUGCGAAAGCGUGGGGAGCAAACAGG
rnacentral:rRNA from 1 species